rnacentral:lncRNA from 10 species
CAGGAAGAGGAGGAUUCCCCUGACACAAGGCUGCAGGGCUCACAAGCACUGACAAUUCACUCAUCAGUUUCAGGACCCAUGAAGACAGAGCCACAGAUUCCCCUGAACAGAAUGGCAAUUUUCGUGUGGUGUUAAUUUCCGUGGAAGAAGAAAAGGCUCGACUCUCUGUCCUAUUUUUCAUGAAUACUGGAAGUAGGGAAUAAACCUGGAGUCUCACGGGUGAAAAGAGACAUUUCCAUAUCACCAGACCACAAACGUGGGUGUUGAUUCUAAGGAUACCCCCAAUAAACAUCUUUCGUGCUAAAGCCCAUUCCAGAAUUUACUUCCCAGCUAUCUUUGAUGUUCAUAUUGUCAGAGGUGGUGGCCGCUGAAACAGGCAAAGACAUGGAGCAUAUCUUGGGUCCAGGACCUUGGGAGUCCAGAGGAAGGUCUUUUUACCAUCAGCAUUCUCUACUGUGUUCAAUGACUGUCAGCCAAAGAUGGCCAGCUUUCCUUCAGAAAGAAAUGCAUUCAAAGAACCUACAUUCACAACAUAAAGAAAUAAAGCACACACAAGACCGCCAAGCAUUAAGAUUCUCCUGUGGAGCCAGGCUACAAUCCUUUAAAUGAAGACAGACAGCUAGGUGGCUGCAGCCCAGCGCUACACCUCACCCCUCCCUCAGUGUCAUGCAGAAAAAAUGUAUUCAGAACUCAGAAGUGAAGUUGUGCAAAUCCAUCAUUGACACUAGCUUCAAGGUUACCUCGGGGGAGCAGAAUGUACCCCUGCCAGAGAGCUGGAUAGAUGAUGAUGGGGACAGAAAUUCUGGGGGAGUUGUAAAUGGCAGCCACUGCCUCUAUAGGAAACCCAAAGGGAACACAGCAGAAGAGGAGGUGGUGGAGGAGCCACUGCCCUCUCGAAGGGUUCAAUGUCAUUCUGCAGACACAACCAAAUAACUUUUUCUUCCCUGCUGCUCCUCCAUUUGAAAUGACAGCCCCGAGCUCGCUUUUUCCUUGAUUGUGUAACUCUGAUUACAGACAAGGCCAAGGCAAUCCCAGGGCAUUACUACAAAGCUAAGGGGUCCCCAAAGAACUAAAGAGUCAGCUCCACAAAAAUCCCGAUUCCUAGCAUGAAACUGAAAUAUGAAACCAAACGGGCAUAGAAAAGGUAUGUGCAUUCGAAUCACAUAGCAGUGACUGGAGUCCUGAGCUGUGUCUGAAGACUGUGAGAUCACGUUUGGAGCUGCUGAUUGGUUUUCAGUGAUGGCCCUGUUGCACAGUGCCGUGAGACUUAGCUCCAUGGCCAAAGACGAUGGUAUCCCCUAGGAGCCCUGUGAGGUUGCUGCUGUUCUCUUAAGACACCAGGUAGCCAUCUGAUCCUCCCUGAGCAAACUAACUGGGCAGACAGGUUUAUUAAACCUCUGUUGGUCCGACUUACAUGAAACAAGAGAGUUAUUUUGUUGUUGUUGUUUUGUUUUGUUUUAAAUUAAACCUGUCUUUGGAGCCUCCUGCUCUUAGUUUACAAGUCUUCUUUGCACACUCUAAUAUUUUAAGAAGCAGCAAACAUUAACUGAGGGUCUA